rnacentral:lncRNA from 1 species
GGCAUUGUGAUGUGUUAGGUGGGUCUGAACCCUCUGGCUUCAGAGAGAGUGCCUGUGGGGCACCAGGUAAUCCGAGACUGCAGCUCAGAGAUUACUCCAGCAAAGAGUCAGGUAUCCACACUGCCUCUGGUACCUGCCCGUUGGUCACUCACUCAUUGUUCUGAUGAUAAGAUAGACAGAUCACAAGAAGGGAUGAAAGUGGUGUCAUUCUCCAGAACCAGGUGUGGAUUGUGAUCAGACCUAGAAUUGGCUACGUAAAAAGCUUAAGAGAGAGAUUCCAUGUCCUGCAACACUGUCCACAAUUCAAAUCUGUAUUCAAGAUAAAACUAAAAGCAGAGAAAAUCCACAGCAGACCUACCACUCUCCAGGCAGAUAGUGCCCUCUCCACACUCUGCAGCCAUCACCUGCCCCUGC